UACGUAGGGUGCAAGCGUUGUCCGGAAUUAUUGGGCGUAAAGAGCUCGUAGGCGGUUUGUCGCGUCUGCUGUGAAAUCUGGGGGCUCAACCCCCAGCCUGCAGUGGGUACGGGCAGACUAGAGUGCGGUAGGGGAGAUUGGAAUUCCUGGUGUAGCGGUGGAAUGCGCAGAUAUCAGGAGGAACACCGAUGGCGAAGGCAGAUCUCUGGGCCGUAACUGACGCUGAGGAGCGAAAGCGUGGGGGAGCGAACAGG
rnacentral:rRNA from 1 species